CAACAGUUUUCUUAUGAUGCAAGAUUGAUUGGCAUUGAAUACGACCCUAAUCGAAAUGCAUACAUUUGUCUCAUACACUAUGGGGAUGGUGAGAAGAGAUAUAUUUUACAUCCUAGAGGGGCUAUAAUUGGAGAUACUAUUGUUUCUGGUACAAAAGUUCCCAUAUCAAUGGGAAAUGCCCUACCUUUGAGUGCGGUUUGA
rnacentral:rRNA from 1 species